AACGAACGCUGGCGGCAUGCCUAACACAUGCAAGUCGAACGAGACCUUCGGGUCUAGUGGCGCACGGGUGCGUAACGCGUGGGAACCUGCCCUUAGGUUCGGAAUAACUCCCCGAAAGGGGUGCUAAUACCGGAUAAUGUCUUCGGACCAAAGAUUUAUCGCCUUUGGAUGGGCCCGCGUUGGAUUAGCUAGUUGGUAGGGUAAAAGCCUACCAAGGCGACGAUCCAUAGCUGGUCUGAGAGGAUGAUCAGCCACACUGGGACUGAGACACGGCCCAGACUCCUACGGGAGGGAGCAGUGGGGAAUAUUGGACAAUGAGCGCAAGCGUGAUCCAGCAAUGCCGCGUGAGUGAUGAAGGCCUUAGGGUUGUAAAGCUCUUUUACCCGGGAUGAUAAUGACAGUACCGGGAGAAUAAGCUCCGGCUAACUCCGUG
rnacentral:rRNA from 1 species